rnacentral:rRNA from 1 species
UACGUAGGUGGCAAGCGUUGUCCGGAUUUACUGGGCGUAAAGAGCGCGCAGGCGGUCGUUCAAGUCGCGUGUGAAAGCCCCCGGCUCAACUGGGGAGGGUCACGCGAUACUGAUCGACUCGAAGGCAGGAGAGGGUAGUGGAAUUCCCGGUGUAGUGGUGAAAUGCGUAGAUAUCGGGAGGAACACCAGUGGCGAAGGCAGCUCACUACACAAUCAUUGACGCUGAGGCACGAAAGCGUGGGGAUCAAACAGG